rnacentral:rRNA from 1 species
UCAAGUGACUAAGUGUAUGUGGUGGAUGCCUUGGCGAUCACAGGCGAUGAAGGACGUAGUAGCUUGCGAUAAGCUGCGGGGAGCCGGCAAACGGGCAUUGAUCCGCAGAUUUCCGAAUGGGGGAACCCACCGACGUAGGUCGGUAUCACGCACUGAAUACAUAGGUGCGUGAGGCGAACGGAGCGAACUGAAACAUCUAAGUAGCUCCAGGAAAAGAAAUCAACCGAGAUUGCGAAAGUAGCGGCGAGCGAAAUUGCAGCAGCCCAGUGUUCUGAUAGCACGAACGACAGCAGAAGGGUCUGGAAAGGCCUGCUAUAGAGGGUGAUAGCCCCGUAUGCGAAAUCGGACGUGUGGUACUAAGGAACCGAUAAGUAGGGCGGGACACGUGACAUCCUGUCUGAAGAUGGGGGGACCAUCCUCCAAGGCUAAAUACUCGUGAUCGACCGAUAGUGAACCAGUACUGUGAAGGAAAGGCGAAAAGAACCCCGGGAGGGGAGUGAAAUAGAACCUGAAACCGCAUACAUACAAACAGUAGGAGCCCCUGCAGUGGGGUGACUGCGUACCUUUUGCAUAAUGGGUCAGCGACUUACGUUUUGUGGCGAGCUUAACCGAGUAGGGGAGGCGUAGCGAAAGCGAGUUCGAAUAGAGCGACAAGUCUCAAGGCGUAGACCCGAAACCAGAUGAGCUAUCCAUGGCCAGGUUGAAGGUGUGGUAACACACACUGGAGGACCGAACCGACUAGUGUUGCAAAAUUAGCGGAUGAGCUGUGGAUAGGGGUGAAAGGCUUAACAAAUCUGGAGAUAGCUGGUUCUCCCCGAAAACUAUUGAGGUAGUGCCUCGUGUAUUGCUCCAGGGGGUAGAGCACUGUUAUGGCUAGGGGGACAUGGCGUCUUACCAAACCAUGGCAAACUCCGAAUACUUGGAAGUAAGAGCACGGGAGACAGAGCACCGGGUGCUAACGUCCGGACUCAAGAGGGAAACAACCCAGACCGCCGUUUAAGGUCCCAAAUAUUGACUAAGUGGAAAACGAAGUGUGAAGGCUAAGACAGUCAGGAAGUUGGCUUAGAAGCAGCCAUCCUUCAAAGAAAGCGUAAUAGCUCACUGAUCGAGUCCUCAUGCGCGGAAGAUGUAACGGGGCUAAGUCAAUAACCGAAAGCGCGGAUUUGCAUGAAAGUGCAAGUGGUAGGGGAGCGUUCUGUAAGCCUGCGAAGGUGGUUCGAGAGGACUGCUGGAGGUAUCAGAAGUGCGAAUGCUGACAUGAGUAACGUUAAAGCGGGUGAAAAGCCCGCUCGCCGUAAGCCCAAGGUUUCCUGCUCUACGUUCAUCGGAGCAGGGUGAGUCGGCCCCUAAGGCCAGGCUGAGAAGCGUAGUCGAUGGGAAGCAGAUUAAUAUUUCUGCACCAUGUGCAAGUGCGAUGGGGGGACGGAGUGCGAAAGAUCAUCCGGGUGUUGGAUGUCCCGGUUUGUGAGUGUAGAAGGCCGACAGGCAAAUCCGUCGGCGGAUCUUCGAGACAAAGCAUCGAGGUUCUACGGAACCGAAGUGAUCGGAAGUGCUUCCAGGAAAAGCCUCUAAGCUUCAGCUUGUACAUGACCGUACCGUAAACCGACACUGGUGGGCGAGUUGAAUAUACUCAGGCGCUUGAGAGAACUCGGGAGAAGGAACUCGGCAAAUUGACACCGUAACUUCGGGAUAAGGUGUGCCUUUGUAGCGUGAAGAGAGAAACACUCGGAGCGUGAAGAGGCCUCAGAGAAUCGGUGGCUGCAACUGUUUAUUAAAAACACAGCACUCUGCAAAGACGAAAGUCGACGUAUAGGGUGUGAUGCCUGCCCGGUGCUGGAAGAUUAAGUGAUGGGGUGAGAGCUCCUGAUCGAAGUCCCAGUAAACGGCGGCCGUAACUAUAACGGUCCUAAGGUAGCGAAAUUCCUUGUC